UGUUGUUGUUGCUUUUGUUUAUUGUUUGUAAUAGGAGGAAGCAACAAAGACAGUAACUGGACAACACGAAAAUGAUAUUGGCAUUAUUGAACAAGCUCCACAAGAUCAAACAAAUAAGAUACCCACAUCAGAAUCAAGACAAAAAGAAGAUACAGAAUCUUCAGAUUCUGAGAUUAUCUCUGAGAGUGAUAUACAGAAUUAUGUGUGUUUAACUGAGGCUACAUAUCAAAAAGAAAUAAAGACAAUAAAUGGCAAAAUAGAAGGUAAGAACCAUUUUUUAUUUAAAACAUCAUUUGACCAAUUAUUUGUCUAAAAGCGUGAGG
rnacentral:lncRNA from 1 species